UACGUAGGGUGCAAGCGUUGCCCGGAUUUACUGGGCGUAAAGGGCGCGUAGGCGGACAGUUAAGUUGGGGGUGAAAGCCCGGGGCUCAACCUCGGAAUUGCCUUCAAUACUGGCUGUCUUGAGUGCGGGAGAGGUGUGUGGAACUCCGAGUGUAGAGGUGAAAUUCGUAGAUAUUCGGAAGAACACCAGUGGCGAAGGCGACACACUGGCCCGUUACUGACGCUGAGGCGCGAAAGCGUGGGGAGCAAACAGG
rnacentral:rRNA from 1 species